rnacentral:rRNA from 1 species
UACGUAGGGAGCAAGCGUUGUCCGGAAUCAUUGGGCGUAAAGCGCGCGUAGGCGGCCCUGUAAGUCCGUUGUGAAAGUCAAAGGCUCAACCUUUGAAAGCCGAUGGAUACUGCAGGGCUAGAGUCCGGAAGAGGCGAGUGGAAUUCCUGGUGUAGCGGUGAAAUGCGCAGAUAUCAGGAGGAACACCGGUGGCGAAGGCGGGUCUCUGGGCCGUAACUGACGCUGAGGAGCAAAAGCGUGGGGAGCAAACAGG